GACGUAGGGCGCGAGCGUUGUCCGGAUUUAUUGGGCGUAAAGAGCUCGUAGGUGGUUCGGUAAGUCGGGUGUUAAACCCCCAGGCUCAACCUGGGGACGCCACUCGAUACUGCUGUGACUUGAGUCCGGUAGGGGAGCGUGGAAUUCCUGGUGUAGCGGUGAAAUGCGCAGAUAUCAGGAGGAACACCAGCGGCGAAGGCGGCGCUCUGGGCCGGUACUGACGCUGAGACGCGAAAGCGUGGGGAGCAAACAGG
rnacentral:rRNA from 1 species